rnacentral:rRNA from 1 species
ACGCUCGACACCUACGGGAAGGCAGCAGGUGGGGGAUAUUGCACAAUGGGGGAAACCCUGAUGCAGCAACGCCGCGUGAAGGAUGAAGGUUUUCGGAUUGUAAACUUCUGUUCUUAGUGACGAUAAUGACGGUAGCUAAGAAGAAAGCUCCGGCUAACUACGUGCCUGCAGCCGCGGUAAUCUGAGCGGGCUGGCAAGGC